rnacentral:lncRNA from 10 species
AUUAAGUGAAGACAAUCAUGCAAAAAGAAAAAAAAUUCCCUGCAAAGCAAUGUGACACACAGACUGAAUUGGAGGCCCAAGACAUUUCCAUAGGCCUUUGAAAAGCUUUCAAGCUGGAGGUCUCCUGCCUUUCGACAGAGGAGCCCUGGUGGCAGCAAGCCUUUCCACCUAGGCCAACACCCAUCCCUUGCCUCAACCACAGGACCACUGAGGCUGACCUGGUGAGGUGGACCCCUUGAGAAGACUGCUGUUGGUGAGGUCCACAUUAGGGUAG